GGGGACGUGGCGGAAUGGCAGACGCGCGCGGCUUAGGACCGCGUACCGCAAGGUGUGAGGGUUCAACUCCCUCCGUCCCCAC
rnacentral:tRNA from 1 species